GACUGAAUUGUUACUGACUAUUACUGACUGAGUUAUUACUGACUGACUGAAUUGUUACUGACUAUUACUGACUGAUGCUGUCAUUUACAGCACAGAGGAGUCUGCACAAGAAGAAGAAAAAAGGAUGAACUAUGGAGGUGUGUAUGUGGGACUACCAGCAGACCUGAGCAUUAUGCCUCCUAUCCAGAUGGGAACACACCAAGAUGAGUGAAGCAUCAUUGAAACACCUUUAACUAAAGGUAUGAUGUCAACAGCCCCGAUCUCAAUAUCAGAUGUCAAUAUCCUAUGUUAAACUCUCUGCCUCAAUCUCAGAAGUUCAUCUUUUGGGACUCUCACACCCACUACAGAGAGAGAACCUUCAGGAUAAUGAUGAUGUCAGCAAGAAUGAAGGAAGGAAUUGUUCUCUUUGAUCUCUGAUUGGCUCCGUGGGACCCAGUAGAACCCCUGGGGGACCAAUCAUCUCCCUCUCUUGCGCCAUAGGAACUG